rnacentral:rRNA from 1 species
UACGUAGGGCGCAAGCGUUAUCCGGAAUUAUUGGGCGUAAAGAGCUCGUAGGCGGUCUGUCGCGUCUGCUGUGAAAACUCAGGGCUUAACCCUGAGCUUGCAGUGGGUACGGGCAGACGUAGAGUCCGGAAGAGGAGAGUGGAAUUCCUGGUGUAGCGGUGAAAUGCGCAGAUAUCAGGAAGAACACCUAUGGCGAAGGCAGCUCUCUGGGACGGUACUGGACGCUGAGACGCGAAAGCGUGGGGAGCGAACAGG